GUUUACAUUGAUCUGUCCCUCUUUUUAGCCAAUAUAAAUCCAACGCAUCCUUCCUCUCUCUUACCCUAGCUUACCAACAAUCACCAAAACAAUUUCCCAUGGCUGGUUCUCAGACCAAGGCCUUAGCUCUCAUUCUCCUCCUCCUCUUCAUCCAUUUAUCAAUAGGUUAGACAGUUCUCUCCAGACUUUAUCAUCUUGCUUGCAGGGUAUUCAUUAAUACGUAACAUAUGGUUUCCAUUUAAUUCUCUUGUAGGCCAAGUUUGGGGAGUUGCACAAGGCAUGAAGUAUGCAAACCCACAAAGUGAGCCCAUUAUUGCUGCAAUGAAGAAGAUCAGAAAGCUCGUAGAGAUUGAUUUUAUGUUGGACUAUGAUAAGGAGGGCCCUAAUCCCAAACAUGAUCCGCCAAGAAGUGGAAAGCCUGCUGGUGGCAACAGCUGAACCAUAUUUUAUGAGAUUAAUGCCAUGAAGGGAUUAAUGAAAUAAACACCAGCUCUUUCUGUGGAGAGAGAGUAGGCCAUCAAGGAGCUCAAUGAUAAUUUAUGAGAUUAAGAGAGCUUGUAUUGUAUUUUACAGUGGAAUGAUUACUAUGAAUAAAUGAAAAACUGCUUGUCGUU
rnacentral:misc_RNA from 1 species